UGCUACACUGUGUGAGAGAUACAGCUAAACUGGGGCCCAAUGCCUUCUACAAGGGUCUGGUUCCAGCAGGGAUCCGUCUCAUCCCUCACACGGUCCUCACGUUCAUCUUCCUGGAGCAGCUCAGAACCUGCUGCGGCAUCAGGAUCGUCACCUGAGAGGGGUCAGGGGUCACCACCUGAUCACCUAUUGAGUAGUCUGAAAUGUGACCUCUGCGUCAGGACUGCCAGGCCACGCCCAUUCCCUUUGUUCCCUGUUCUAUGUGAGCAGGAAACUUUAAUCCACCUGCAACCUCCCCCAUCCUAAACCCCACCUUCUGGAUACAGACUAGUGACUGACUGAAUGGGGGGUUCUGGAUACAGACUAGUGACUGACUGAAUGGGGGGUUCUGGAUACAGACUAGUGACUGACUGAAUGGGGGGUUCUGGAUACAGACUAGUGACUGACUGAAUGGGGGGUUCUGGAUACAGACUAGUGACUGACUGAAUGGGGGGUUCUGGAUACAGACUAGUGACUGACUGAAUGGGGGGUUCUGGAUACAGACUAGUGACUGACUGAAUGGGGGUUCUGGAUACAGACUAGUGACUGACUGAAGAAGGGGUUCUGGAUACAGACUAGUGACUGACUGAAUGGGGGGUUCUGGAUACAGACUAGUGACUGACUGAAUGGGGGUUCUGGAUACAGACUAGUGACUGACUGAAGGGGGGGUUCUGGAUACAGACUAGUGACUGACUGAAGGAGGAGGAGGGGGUUCUGGAUACAGACUAGUGACUGACUGAAUGGGGGGUUCUGGAUACAGACUAGUGACUGACUGACGGGUGGGGUUCUGGAUACAGACUAGUGACUGACUGAAGGGGGGGUUCUGGAUACAGCCUAGUUACUGACUGAAGGGGGGGUUCUGGAUACAGACUAGUGACUGACUGAAGGAGGGGUUCUGGAUACAGACUAGUGACUGACUGAAUGGGGGGUUCUGGAUACAGCCUAGUGACUGACUGAAUGGGGGGUUCUGGAUACAGACUAGUGACUGACUGAAGGGGGGUUCUGGAUACAGACUAGUGACUGACUGAAUGGGGGUUCUGGAUACAGACUAGUGACUGACUGAAUGGGGGGGUUCUGGAUACAGACUAGUGACUGACUGAAGGGGGGGUUCUGGAUACAGACUAGUGACUGACUGAAGGAGGGGUUCUGGAUACAGACUAGUGACUGACUGAAGGAGGAGGGGGGUUUGGAUACAGACUAGUGACUGGGGGGGGGGGGGGGGGUUCUGGAUACAGCCUACUGACUGACUGAAGGGGGGGUUCUGGAUAUAGUGGAAUACAUUUGACCAGAGCCCAGUGCACUAUAGAGGGAAUAGACUGCCAUUUGGGACACCGAUUUAAGUAAUCCAUCUGAACUUGGAACAGCCUCUGUAGAAUGAACCUUGACCCACAUGUCUUUAGUUAUGUUAAUGGCUGCUAGAGGGCGCUGUUACACUGUGGUUAUGAUGUAGGCGUACUCUGCAGACGGCCACGGCCGCUGUACCAGGUCUUAACGUGUAUAAGUGGGUUGGUUGUAUGGGAGCGUGCCACUUAAUGUGGAGGUUAUUGUUAUUCACGCCACCGCUGAAGGUCCAGAUGUUUUUUUGUAUUGUAGAUGACAUAUUUUACAUUGAUGAUGGCUACUUCCUGUUUCAUUGACUGUCAAAACGAAUGUUUCAUUGGGCUAAUGAAUGGACUGAUGAAUAAAUUAUUACCUGUAUAGUGAUCAAUACCAAUAUGUCCAUAAAUAUGCUUGUUACAGAGAUGA